GCCGCCGGAAGUCUGCGGAGAGGCAGCGCGUCUCGGCGGAGCCUCAGGGAAGAUCCACAACCUAGAACAAGGGUCAAGUCACAGGGAUGGGUCUAACCCCAGCUUCAGCCCUGGCAUAGCAGACCCGCACACCUGCCCACAGGUCUCAUGCAUCCCAGGCUGGGCCCACACUUGUUCAUGUGGCUGAGGAAGACACUGGAAUUCUAACCCACCAGCCUCUACAUUCUGGUCGCUGGGACUUGAGAUUAUGUAUGUGAGUUACCACACCUGGUUAAUGUGGUGCAGAGGGCAGAACCCAGAGCUUUGUGCAUGCCAGCCAAGAACUCUACUCACUAAACCACCUUCUCAGCCCUCAACAUUCUGAAGUGAUGAACACUACGGAAAUCAAACCACAGACAGCAUACCCAGUGGUAAAAUGUUGAAACUCUUUCUUCUUUGACUGAAAUUGA